GAUGAACGCUGGCGGCGUGCCUAAUACAUGCAAGUCGAGCGACCGGACGAGAAGCUUGCUUCUCUGAUGUUCGCGGCGGACGGGUGAGUAACACGUGGAUAACCUACCUCUAAGACUGGGAUAACUUCGGGAAACCGGCGCUAAUACCGGAUAUUAUUUUGAACCGCAUGGUUCAAAAGUGAAAGACGGUCUUGCUGUUACUUAUAGAUGGAUCCGCGCUGCAUUAGCUAGUUGGUAAGGUAACGGCUUACCAAGGCAACGAUGCAUAGCCGACCUGAGAGGGUGAUCGGCCACACUGGAACGGAGACACGGUCCAGACUCCUACGGGAGGCAGCAGUGGAGAAUCUUCCGCAAUGGGCGAAAGCCUGACGUGGCAACGCCGCGUGAGUGAUAAAGGUCUUCGGAUCGUAAAACUCUGUUAUUAGGGAAGAACAUAUGUGUAAGUAACUGUGCACAUCUUGACGGUACCUAAUCAGAAAGCCACGGCUAACUACGUG
rnacentral:rRNA from 1 species